rnacentral:lncRNA from 10 species
GGAAAAUCAAGGCCACGUACCAACCCAUACCAGAACAACAUAUGCAUAGUCAACAGAUUUUUGUCAGCAUAUUAUUCUUCUGGUUGUUUAUUCAGAAAGAUGUCUCAGGCACCAGUUAUGCAUUACCCAGAGUGAGGCCAUCUCUUGGGACAUGGAGCUGAGAGGCAGUGCCCACUGUGGUUACUUUCGGAUGGCUGCCAGGGAAUAGAUGAAAGGCAGAAGUGGCGAUGGGUGACUGAUGUGGCACACUUAUGAAGAAAAGCCUCUUUUUCCAUGCUUGUUUUUCCUCCCCAAGGAGCCAACAGAGUUUCUAUUCUCCAACUCUGCUCUUCACCUUACCCAAGGGUCAUUGCAGUCACCUGGAGUCACGGAAAUGACCAUGAUUGCCUGAACUUUCAUGACUUCUGUGGAUAACUGUGGUUGCAGAAAAGAGAAAACCUGGACCGUGAGGGACAUUUCACUCCCUGGGCUUUGGUACAUGGUACAUGUGUGGUUGGAUGUGUGUUGC